rnacentral:rRNA from 1 species
GAUGAACGCUGGCGGCGUGCUUAACACAUGCAAGUCGAGCGAAGCAGUUGAAAAGAUUCUUCGGAUGAUUUUUAACUGACUGAGCGGCGGACGGGUGAGUAACGCGUGGGUGACCUGCCCCAUACCGGGGGAUAACAGCUGGAAACGGCUGCUAAUACCGCAUAAGCGCACAGAGCUGCAUGGCUCGGUGUGAAAAACUCCGGUGGUAUGGGAUGGGCCCGCGUCUGAUUAGGCAGUUGGCGGGGUAACGGCCCACCAAACCGACGAUCAGUAGCCGGCCUGAGCGGGCGACCGGCCACAUUGGGACUGAGACACGGCCCAAACUCCUACGGGAGGCAGCAGUGGGGAAUAUUGCACAAUGGGGGAAACCCUGAUGCAGCGACGCCGCGUGAGCGAAGAAGUAUUUCGGUAUGUAAAGCUCUAUCAGCAGGGAAGAUAAUGACGGUACCUGACUAAGAAGCCCCGGCUAACUACGUGCCAGCCGCCGCGGUAA